rnacentral:rRNA from 1 species
UACGUAGGGUGCAAGCGUUGUCCGGAAUUAUUGGGCGUAAAGAGCUCGUAGGCGGUUUGUCGCGUCUGCUGUGAAAACUCGGGGCUUAACUCCGGGCCUGCAGUGGGUACGGGCAGACUAGAGUGCGGUAGGGGAGACUGGAAUUCCUGGUGUAGCGGUGAAAUGCGCAGAUAUCAGGAGGAACACCAGUAGCGAAGGCGGCUCUCUGGACUGUAACUGACACUGAGGCACGAAAGCGUGGGGAGCAAACAGG